UCCCUCAUUUUUUCUGGAAAAAGAGAGGCCUGAGCUUAGGUAACCAAGAUAGAGCACGAGAGCUCAGAGGGAAAGAAAAAAAAGAAAGAUUGUCGGAAAUGAAUGAUCCCAGUAGCAAUAGCAAUAACAAUAACAAUCAAGAACUCAUGCAACUGAAACCAGAGGAGCUCCAAGACUCGGGGGAGCCGCCCUUCGCCUUGCUCCGCCUCAACAACCACCAACUCUGCACCUCUUGCGGCUGCUCUGGCUCCAACCCCAUAUUGAAACGACGCUCUCCCUCGUCGUCUUCCUCUUUCCAAGAUCCACUCCACCCUGACCCCUCCCACUCCGAACCCAAUCCCAAGAGGCUCUUCUUCGAGCCAGACGACCUCACCCUCCGUGGUUUCUCCAAGGUCUCCCUCGGCCCCUCACCUCCGGCCCAGCCCCAUUCUCCUCUCCGCCGCUGCGUUUCGGACCCGGCCCCCGCCACCGCUUUUGUCUCCCCUCCGAUGGCCCCUUUUGCCGAUGCCUCAGUUUUUCAGGUCCAGAACCCGAACCCGAACGCUCCUGAUCACUCUCCGGAGCACGCGAGGACUGGCAUCAUCCCGGUAACGCCGCCUUCGAACACUAGGUUGCCACCUCUGCCGCCGUCUCUGUGUCGGUCGGUGUCCGACCCUUCUCCGUCGCCGGCGAAGGCCUAUUCACGUUCGUCGAGUUCUGGGGAUGUAAGUGUGGGUUUGGCCAAGAAACAGACUCCCGAUUCCAAGAGGCUGAGAAGGAUGAAGGCUUGUAUGAGAGAGAUAAGCAAGUGGUGUAGGGAAGUCGCGCGUGAACCGGGCGAAGAAGAUGCAGAAGAAAAAGACGCUAAUGCCGCAAUGAAGGAUGAGUCUCGGCCAGAGAUCGAGGAAUCUGUGUUUGUGGAGAAGGUGGGAGAGGCCCUAACCGUCCAUUUCAAGUGCCCCUGUGGCAAAGGCUAUCAGAUUCUUCUCGCUGGAAGAGACUGUUUCUACAAACUGAUGUAGAUUGAGAUGAUACAUCCAUCAGUCGCAGUUCUCAACAUUCUCAGGUUUUACGGUCUUGCUCUCACUCUAAAUCCGCAUACCCAAAACCAUGAUUUACCCAACUAUUUUUUCUCAAAACCCAUUUGCAACAGUGAUGCCAAAGUUCUAUAUCCCCCCACCAAUGCCAUCUCUCUCCAACUCCAAGCCCAUCCUCUGUUUCCGCCGUCAGAACUCCAACAUCAUCAACGAACCCCCAAAACCCGGAACCCGUUUCAGAAAUCCCAUCACAGUGAGCCCAAGUCAAUUAUAUCUGAACAAAAGCAAGAAACAGAGGGCAUAUGAGGAGAGAAGAGGCGUUUCCCCAGCGGGUAGUCGGCAAAUGUUGCUUUUGUGUGGACUUGGGUAUUGGGUACAGGGUUUCAGGUGUUUCCCAUGGCUGGCUCUUAGCUUUCACAUGGCCCACAAUCUUAACUUGAGCCCUUCAUCAUUGCAGCUGGUGCUGAAUUCUGGUAACCUCCCUAUGGUGGCUAAGCCUCUGUAUGGAGUGUUUUCUGAUGCUUUAUAUGUUGGCGGCGCUCGAAGAAUACCUUACGUUUCCAUUGGAGUUCUUUUGCAGAUCUUGUCUUGGGGACCAUUAGCACUGAUCCCUGUUGCUGGUGAAGCGCUUCCAACGCUUAUGGCUUGUGUUCUUCUCAGUAACCUUGGAGCAUCCAUUACAGAAGUCGCAAAAGAUGCUCUUGUUGCAGAGUAUGGCCAAAAACACAGAAUCAAGGGCCUUCAGUCUUAUUCAUUCAUGGCUUUAGCUGCUGGUGGAAUCCUAGGAAACUUAAUAGGUGGAUACUUAUUACUGAAAACGCCAUCUAGUACCAUGUUUCUUGUGUUUGCAAUUCUACUUUCUCUUCAACUGGGAAUUUCGGUGACAACAAGAGAGGAAUCUCUUGGUUUAACACAGCUGCCAAAUUACAGUCUUGCCAGGAAAUCUAUCUCAGAAAGUAUCAGAAAACAGUUCUAUGAUCUUGUAACUGCUAUUAGUGAAGAGAGCAUCUGCCGCCCCCUUGCUUGGAUUGUAGCUUCUAUAGCUGUUGUCCCAAUUCUUUCAGGUUCUAUCUUUUGCUAUCAAACACAGUAUCUACAUCUUGAUGCUUCAGUCAUUGGGAUGUCUCGAGUUAUUAGCCAGUUGGUGCUUCUUUCAAUGACUGUACUUUAUGAUCGUCAUUGGAAAAAAGUUCCCAUGAGGAAACUGAUUGGUGCGGUGCAGAUUUUGUAUGCCUUUUCCCUUCUUCUUGACCUUGUUCUGGUAAAACAGAUCAAUCUUAAAUUUGGGAUGCCCAAUGAGGUGUUUGUUCUCUGUUUUUCGGGUUUAGCAGAAACUCUUGCGCAGUUUAAGCUCCUUCCUUUUUGGGUGCUAUUAGCGAGUUUAUGUCCUCGGGGUUGUGAAGGAUCUCUCACUUCUUUCUUAGCAUCAGCCCUGUGUUUGUCAUCGAUAAUAAGUGGCUUUUUGGGUGUUGGAUUGGCUUCUCUUCUUGGAAUAACAUCUGGGGAUUACUCGGGGCUGCCUGUGGGAAUUUUGAUGCAGUUCCUUGCAGCUUUAUUUCCUUUGGGAUGGAUUCAUUGCAUACCCACAUCACAAGCUGUUGCUGACGAGGAAAGGAAGAGAGCUGCGAGUAAAAGAACUCGAAGAAAUAGAAGGGUCGGAAGAGUGGUUUUUAGUUCAUUUUAUGCUUACCGGCGUGAAAGAGAAUCUGAGGCAUAGAGGUGAGGAAGCAAAAAUGUUCUACAGUUGCUAUCUUUUUUUUUUUUAGAGAACAUGGUAGAAGAAAGGAAGCCUAGGAUUGCUCGAGUUCCAUUUAUCGUGUUCAUGCUCUUAAACCGAAGCCUUGUACAUGGAUUCAUCUCAUGAUACUGCCUCUGAGUUCUGACUAUCUUGUUUCCAUCACAAAGGUCACAAAGUCAUCAUUUUUCCUUUUAUGUGCACAUUCAUACGGAUGCAUAUAGAUUGCGCCGUCUAUUUCUUUGGAGUGUGCAUGGAUGUACACAGAAUGCGCUUCCGACGCAUGAAACUGGUGGCUUUUACUGAUAAAAUAAAGGCCAAACCAACAAUUGAAAUGGUUCAGAACUUGGUGGUUAAACUUUACUGCAGUGAUGGUGCCUUGAGAGGAGGUCCUGCGCAAAAGGUAUUCAUUGUGAGCGCUGUGAAAUGGAGAGGAUCCUAUUCUCUGUCCAAGUGUCAUGAGUCAACAAUAAUUUAGAGGCAUCUAUUUGACAUCGGUGCAAAUCUAUAGCCUUUUCUUCAAUUUUGGUAGUUUUCCCAUGUAGUGAAAUAGAGGACAAGCAGUUGCAGUCUUGGGUGUCGAUAAGAGUUUUUGUUUAGGUUGUGUUAGUUUUAAGUAGAAAGUUUUUGUUUUCUUAUGUGGUCAUUCGACGCAUGCCACAUCAGCAGGGGUGAAGCGGGUGUGAUAAAAUAGGUGUGAAGAUAGAUUUAUUCUUUUGAUUAAGACCCUGAAAAUUCAAAAAUGAGAUUGAAAACAUCUUCAAGUAUUUGGUUAGCAUGGAAAAUCUUUUCAUGCUAAACUAUCAGAAA